rnacentral:tRNA from 2 species
GCGGGAUUAGUUAAGUGGUAUAACAGACGACUCCAAACCGUCGGUCGUGGGUUCGAUUCCUACAUCCCGCGCAA